rnacentral:rRNA from 1 species
CACGUAGGGGGCAAGCGUUGUCCGGAUUUAUUGGGCGUAAAGAGCUCGUAGGUGGUUCGAUAAGUCGGGUGUGAAACCUCCAGGCUCAACCUGGAGACGCCACCCGAUACUGUCGUGACUAGAGUCCAGUAGGGGAGCGUGGAAUUCCUGGUGUAGCGGUGGAAAUGCGCAGAUAUCAGGAGGAACACCAGCGGCGAAGGCGGCGCUCUGGGCUGGCACUGACACUGAGGAGCGAAAGCGUGGGGAGCGAACAGG